GGGUGUGCAUGUGAGAAAGGUUUUGGCUUUAGUGUCUAUGGGUUGGUAAUAAAGGUUCUGAUGAUUUUUCUGAUGGAAAAGUGGUCUUUUAUUUCCAUAAUCUUUGUUCAGUGAACGCCUAAACACGUUUGUUAGUUAGCAGUUAAACAAAAUGCGAUCUCUUUGUUUACAGUUACCAACGACCAACUGAUGAUUGGGGGUUCCAUUCCCUAGUGAUGCAAGGUUUUUUCUUUCAUUUUGGACUGCACACACAUCGCGUGUGACGGAUACUCGCACAAUGGCCAAGGUACACACAUCACUGUCUUUACAAUUAUAGGCAACCGAAGUUUAAAGAUUGUCAAGUGGUUAACUCUUGAAUCGCACGUACUAAGACCUGAUGGGUUAGUGGUCAGAGAACUCAUUAACGCGGGGAUAAGGGGUUCGAUUCCUUAAUGAAGCUAGCUUUUUUCUUUCAUAUUUGACUGGAUGUUUGCAUGCCAUUUUGCGUAACUUGUAGUUUAUGAUGAAGAAAUGUUACUGGGGUUAAGGUUAGGGUAACGCUAAGGGUAAGACACAAAGUGUUUUUGCAACACAAUAUUUCUUACAAUAACAAAGUCCAAAGUUUUGAUGACUCCAGUAGGAAACUUAAGAUACCUAGAGAAAUGCGUGAGUGCUCACAAAACAUCAACAAGUCAGCAGUGUGGUACAGGGUGAUCAUUUCUGAUAUACAGUACAAAAGCUGAAACAAUAGGGGAUUAUCACGCUUCCUGGUUCCGGUGGCGGGAUUUGUCUUCGUUGUGCAUGAACACUUCCGGCGCACUUCCACCAUGGCUGAAACAAAGGCGAGAUGUCACUGCUCUCUGUUCCACUUUGUACAUCUAACAAACACCAACCCUACUUAAGUUUUCAUGGAUUCCCGACUGAAAUGAGUCUAAGGAAGAAGUGGAUUCAAGCGGUUCGCCGGGAUGAAGGGCCAAACUUUAAAAUAAAACAAGGUAGCAUGUUUGUUUGUAGCCGGCACUUUAGUGAAUCAGACUACAAACGCUACAGCUAGCAACCAACCGGGGUCACACCAAGCGACUGAAAAUCGGGUCUGUACCCUCCCGUUUCCAGUGGAACAACUGGGGACUGCCAAGAAGGGGGUCUGUUUAUAAAAGAGCAUCAACUCGCUUAGGCCUUGACGUUCACCCAUCCCUUCCUCUGGAGCAACCGCUGCCCUGUGAAUAAGAGCCGAUGGAGGAGAUCGCAGCUUCGGUGGUGAUGACAGAACAUGAUUUCGGUUCUGCUCCUAAACCAGGUGCACUGGAUGCUGCUGCUAUAAACAUACAGCAAUUGGAAGAAACAGUCAAGGCGCUGAUGAGAGCUGUCACAGCUGAAAGUGGUUCAAGUGCAUUUUCACAGAUUCUGUGUCUCAGACG
ensembl:lncRNA